rnacentral:rRNA from 1 species
AACGAACGCUGGCGGCAUGCCUAACACAUGCAAGUCGAACGAGACCUUCGGGUCUAGUGGCGCACGGGUGCGUAACGCGUGGGAACCUGCCCUUAGGUUCGGAAUAACUCCCCGAAAGGGGUGCUAAUACCGGAUAAUGUCUUCGGACCAAAGAUUUAUCGCCUUUGGAUGGGCCCGCGUUGGAUUAGCUAGUUGGUGGGGUAAAAGCCUACCAAGGCGACGAUCCAUAGCUGGUCUGAGAGGAUGAUCAGCCACACUGGGACUGAGACACGGCCCAGACUCCUACGGGAGGCAGCAGUGGGGAAUAUUGGACAAUGGGCGAAAGCCUGAUCCAGCAAUGCCGCGUGAGUGAUGAGGGCCUUAGGGUUGUAAAGCUCUUUUACCCGGGAUGAUAAUGACAGUACCGGGAGAAUAAGCUCCGGCUAACUCCGUG